AAUGGGCGCAAGCCUGACCCAGCCAUGCCGCGUGUGUGAAGAAGGCUCUAGGGUUGUAAAGCACUUUAAGUUGGGAGGAAGGCUGUUUAGUUAAUACCUAAGCAGAUUGACGUUACCAACAGGAUAAGCACCGGCUAAUUCCGUGCCAGCAGCCGCGGUAAUACGGAAGGUGCGGGCGUUAAUCGGAAUUACUGGGCGUAAAGCGCACGUAGGCGGUUUGCUAAGUCAGAUGUGAAAGCCCCGGGCUUAACCUGGGAACUGCAUCUGAUACUGGCAGGCUAGAGUACGGUAGAGGGAGGUGGAAUUUCAGGUGUAGCGGUGAAAUGCGUAGAGAUCUGAAGGAACACCAGUGGCGAAGGCGGCCUCCUGGACUGAUACUGACGCUGAGGUGCGAAAGCGUGGGGAGCAAACAGGAUU
rnacentral:rRNA from 1 species